CCGGGAAUUGUAAUUUGAAGGUGGGGUUGAAUAGGUCUAGAUACUUUAAGUCCAUUGGAAAAUGGCGCCAUGGAGGGUGAUAGCCCCGUAAAAGUAUUCAAACCUUCUUUUCUUCCCCUCCUAAGAGUCGAGUUGUUUGGGAAUGCAGCUCUAAGUGGGUGGUAAAUUCCAUCUAAAGCUAAAUAUUGGCGAGAGACCGAUAGCGAACAAGUACAGUGAUGGAAAGAUGAAAAGCACUUUGAAAAGAGAGUGAAAAAGUACGUGAAAUUGUUGAAAGGGAAGGGCUUGCAAGCAGACACAACCUCGGUUGGGCCAGCAUCGGAGUGGGGGGAGACAAAAAAGGUUAGGAAUGUAGCUCAUCUCGAGUAUUAUAUCCUGGCCCUAUAUCUCCACCCCCUUCCGAGGCCU
rnacentral:rRNA from 2 species